rnacentral:rRNA from 1 species
UAUUCCUGUACUAGAGUAUGUAGUGAUGGAGGGACGCAGUAGGCUAACUAAAGCAGACGAAUGGAAGUGUCUGUCUAAGCAGUGAGGUGUGAUAUGAGUCAAAUGCUUAUAUCUAUAACAUUGAGCUGUAAUGGGGAGCGAAGUUUAGUAGCGAAGUUAGUGACGUCACACUGCCAAGAAAAGCUUCUAGCGUUUAAACAUACUCUACCCGUACCGCAAACCGACACAGGUAGUCGAGGCGAGUAGCCUCAGGUGAGCGAGAGAACUCUCGUUAAGGAACUCGGCAAAAUGACCCCGUAACUUCGGGAGAAGGGGUGCUGACAUAUGUCAGCCGCAGUGAAUAGGCCCAAGCAACUGUUUAUCAAAAACACAGCUCUCUGCUAAAUCGUAAGAUGAUGUAUAGGGGGUGACGCCUGCCCGGUGCUGGAAGGUUAAGAGGAGUGCUUAGGAGUAAUCCGAAGGUAUGAAUUGAAGCCCCAGUAAACGGCGGCCGUAACUAUAACGGUCCUAAGGUAGCGAAAUUCCUUGUCGGGUAAGUUCCGACCCGCACG